CCUACGGGAGGCAGCAGUGGGGAAUAUUGCGCAAUGGGCGAAAGCCUGACGCAGCGACGCCGCGUGAGGGAUGAAGGUCCUCUGAUCGUAAACCUCUGUCAGCAGGGAAGAACGGUCACUGUGGUAAUCAGCAGUGAAUUGUCGGUACCUGCAAAGGAAGCACCGGCUAACUCCGUGCCAGCAGCCGCGGUAAUACGGAGGGUGCGAGCGUUAAUGGGAAUUAGUGGACGAAAAGCGUACGUAGGCGGUUAGUCAAGUCAAGGGUGAAACCCCCGCGCUCAACGUGGGAACUGCAUUUGAAACUGGGAAACUGGAGUGUAUGAGAGGAUAGUGGAAUUCCUGGUGUAGGAGUGAA
rnacentral:rRNA from 1 species